rnacentral:rRNA from 1 species
AACGAACGCUGGCGGCAGGCUUAACACAUGCAAGUCGAACGCAUCGCAAGAUGAGUGGCAGACGGGUGAGUAACGCGUGUGAACAUACCCUUUUCUACGGAAUAGCUCUGGGAAACUGGAAUUAAUACCGUAUACGCCCUCCGGGGGAAAGAUUUAUCGGGGAAGGAUUGGCCCGCGUUGGAUUAGCUAGUUGGUGGGGUAAAGGCCUACCAAGGCAACGAUCCAUAGCUGGUCUGAGAGGUUGAUCAGCCACAUUGGGACAGAGACACGGCCCAAACUCCUACGGGAGGCAGCAGUGGGGAAUAUUGGACAAUGGGCGCAAGCCUGAUCCAGCCAUGCCGCGUGAGUGAUGAAGGCCUUAGGGUUGUAAAGCUCUUUCACCGAUGAAGAUAAUGACGGUAGUCGGAGAAGAAGCCCCGGCUAACUUCGUGCCAGCAGCCGCAGUAA